GACUUUAGUCUGCUCCUCUGGAGUGAAAUGUGGUGCUGAACUAACAAAUCUGUAGGAGCAUAAAUUGGAUCAUUCAGCAUGGAAUUUUUCAAAGCCUGUUCCUGGAACAGAUCCCAGACAGAGGUGAGAACAGAGUCAUCAAGUUCAAGAGCAGACCAAAUUCAUGGCCACUGAUUAUUAUUAAGUAUUAGGACUUACUGACCAAAGUGCAGCAACUGAAUCAGAAUUCUCUAAAUUUUAGGUUUUAGGCAGGCCACAUAAUUAAGAAAACAAUUAAGAACUGGCUACGCAGUUUCUGUGUUUUGGUCUUGCCAGUUCUCAGCCACUGGAUCACUAUCACAUGACAUCUACAGUACCACAAGAAAUGUCAACAAAAGCCACAAUGUUGAUGCGGACAUCUAAAACCACAAUGGAUCUGUUACACACCCCUGUUAAUAUGGCAGUUUAAAAAAAUAAACAAGUAUUAAACCAUAAAAAAAAAGGAUUUUCUU